UACAGAGGAGCCAAGCGUUGUCCGGAUUGACUGGGCGUAAAGCGCACGCAGGCGGAUGCGCGCGUGGGGUGUGAAAUCUGGCCGCUUAACGGCCAGGCGCCAUCCCAUACGGCGCGUCUGGAGUGAUGCAGAGGUCGGUGGAAUUGGCCGGUGUAGUGGUGAAAUGCGUAGAGAUCGGACAGGAACACCCAGGGGAAACCGAGC
rnacentral:rRNA from 1 species